AUCUGGUAUAUGCUGAUUCAGAUGAAACAUUUCAAGAUGAAUGGAAUUGCUUUUGUCAGACCCCAGAAGCCCAAAAGUAUAACCAGUACAUGAGGUACAGUUACCUAUGUAUUGUAGAUAUGUGACCAUUAUUAAUUUUUAGAUGAAAUAAGAUGGUCAUUUUUUUAAGCUCAAUUGUAUUAUAUCUGUGGAUGUUUGACAGUUUCCAUUUAGCUAGUGAAGACUAACAGAUUAUGUAUUAAUCUUUCAAUCUUUCAGAUAUAGGCUACCGUACAAGAGGGAAAAAAUACAUACGUUGGUAUCUGGCAAAGCUGAUAGAAAGGAAGGAAGAAUGGAGUACUGUGUACAGGGCUGGAUUUUUGCUACGUGGACACCACACAAAUAAUUUUGCAGAAUCUACCAUGUGCAUCAUUAAAGAUAUCAUUCUCAACAGAUGUAAAGCCUACAACACGACUCAACUGAUCAUGUUUAUGAAUGAAAUAUUUGAUGAAUAUAUGAAACAACGCCUCAUUGAUGUGUCUCUCUGUAGAAGGAAAGUAGUGAAGCCACCAACUGGGAUUUCCAUUAGUAAGGAAAGCAUCACUAGGUAUAAUGAAGAUCAGCAUCAGUUCAUAGUUAAAAGCCAGUCAAAGGAACAAAUACAGUAUACUGUAGAUCUUAAAAUUGGCUUGUGCGAGUGCAGUACUGGUAUGACUGGUAAAGUUUGCAAACAUCAGGCUGCUUGUUCAGAACAGUUCCUCUUGCAGUUACCUCAGAUAUUGGAAAAUAGCCCAGAAAAUAGGCACUGGCUUGCAAGUAUUGCACUUGGAAAUGAAAACGUACCACCCUUGGAUUUCUUUGUUACCUUGAAAGAAAACUCUGAAUCAGUAACAGGGGAUGAUCACUCACAUACUGGAGGAAAACAAAAGUCUCAUGGUGCAGCUCAUGAUGUAGAUAAUGUGGAA